rnacentral:rRNA from 1 species
GACGAACGCUGGCGGCGUGCUUAACACAUGCAAGUCGAGCGAGAAAGCACCUUCGGGUGUGAGUACAGCGGCGAACGGGUGAGUAACACGUGGGCAACCUGCCCUGGAGAGCGGGACAACCCGAGGAAACUCGGGCUAAUACCGCAUAUUCCGAUUCGGCCCAGGUCGAAUCGGGAAAUGGUAGCUUCGGCCUCCGCUCCGGGAUGGGCCCGCGCCGCAUUAGCUAGUUGGUGAGGUAACGGCUCACCAAGCGACGAUGCGUAGCUGGUCUGAGAGGACGAUCAGCCACACUGGGACUGAGACACGGCCCA